rnacentral:rRNA from 1 species
AACACUGAGGCGUGACGACGAGGCACUACGGUGCUGAAGCAACAAAUGCCCUGCUUCCAGGAAAAGCCUCUAAGCAUCAGGUAACAUCAAAUCGUACCCCAAACCGACACAGGUGGUCAGGUAGAGAAUACCAAGGCGCUUGAGAGAACUCGGGUGAAGGAACUAGGCAAAAUGGUGCCGUAACUUCGGGAGAAGGCACGCUGACACGUAGGUGAAGUGAUUUACUCAUGGAGCUGAAGUCAGUCGAAGAUACCAGCUGGCUGCAACUGUUUAUUAAAAACACAGCACUGUGCAAACACGAAAGUGGACGUAUACGGUGUGACGCCUGCCCGGUGCCGGAAGGUUAAUUGAUGGGGUCAGCGCAAGCGAAGCUCCUGAUCGAAGCCCCGGUAAACGGCGGCCGUAACUAUAACGGUCCUAAGGUAGCGAAAUUCCUUGUCGGGUAAGUUCCGACCUGCACGAAUGGCGUAAUGAUGGCCAGGCUGUCUCCACCCGAGACUCAGUGAAAUUGAACUCGCUGUGAAGAUGCAGUGUACCCGCGGCAAGACGGAAAGACCCCGUGAACCUUUACUAUAGCUUGACACUGAACAUUGAGCCUUGAUGUGUAGGAUAGGUGGGAGGCUUUGAAGUGUGGACGCCAGUCUGCAUGGAGCCGACCUUGAAAUACCACCCUUUAAUGUUUGAUGUUCUAACGUGGACCCGUUACCCGGGUUGCGGACAGUGUCUGGUGGGUAGUUUGACUGGGGCGGUCUCCUCCUAAAGAGUAACGGAGGAGCACGAAGGUUGGCUAAUCCUGGUCGGACAUCAGGAGGUUAGUGCAAUGGCAUAAGCCAGCUUGACUGCGAGCGUGACGGCGCGAGCAGGUGCGAAAGCAGGUCAUAGUGAUCCGGUGGUUCUGAAUGGAAGGGCCAUCGCUCAACGGAUAAAAGGUACUCCGGGGAUAACAGGCUGAUACCGCCCAAGAGUUCAUAUCGACGGCGGUGUUUGGCACCUCGAUGUCGGCUCAUCACAUCCUGGGGCUGAAGUAGGUCCCAAGGGUAUGGCUGUUCGCCAUUUAAAGUGGUACGCGAGCUGGGUUUAGAACGUCGUGAGACAGUUCGGUCCCUAUCUGCCGUGGGCGCUGGAGAACUGAGGGGGGCUGCUCCUAGUACGAGAGGACCGGAGUGGACGCAUCACUGGUGUUCGGGUUGUCAUGCCAAUGGCACUGCCCGGUAGCUAAAUGCGGAAGAGAUAAGUGCUGAAAGCAUCUAAGCACGAAACUUGCCCCGAGAUGAGUUCUCCCUGAGACUUAAAGUCUCCUGAAGGAACGUUGAAGACGACGACGUUGAUAGGC